CAGCUAAGGCUCCAAAGUGCGUGUUAAGUGGAAAAGGAUGUGGGGAUUCUAAGACAACUAGGACGUUGGCUUAGAAGCAGCCAUUCAUUGAAAGAGUGCGUAAUAGCUCACUAGUCGAGAGUCCCUGCGCCGAAAAUGUCCGGGGCUGAAACACGACACCGAAGCUUAGGAAUGUGUAAACAUUGGUAGAGGAGCAUUGCUGGCGGGAUGAAGCCAUACCGUAAGGAGUGGUGGACUGCCAGGAAGAGAGAAUGCCGGAAUGAGUAGCGAGAUGAAGGUGAGAAUCCUUCAGGCCGAAUAUCUAAGGUUUCCAGAGUAAAGCUGAUCUGCUCUGGGUAAGUCGGGACCUAAGGCGAGGUCGAAAGACGUAGUCGAUGGAUAACAGGUUGAAAUUCCUGUACCGCAUAUAAACAGAACUGUGGGGACACAGACAGGGAAUGGAAUCCGGGAAUGGAUAUCCCGGUGCAAGCGAGGUAGGAGUGCUGUUGGCAAAUCCGCAGCACGAUCUGAAGACGUGACGCGUACCGAACAUAAGUAGGGAAGUCCAGGCCCCUGGCUGUCAAGAAAAGCCGCUAUUGUUUUAUAUGUGCCCGUACCGCAAACCGACACAGGUGGAUGAGGAGAGAAUCCUAAGGCCGACGGGAGAAGCAUUGUUAAGGAACUCGGCAAAAUGACUCCGUAACUUCGGGAGAAGGAGUGCCAGCGAGAGCUGGCCGCAGAGAAUUGGCCCAAGCAACUGUUUAGCAAAAACACAGGUCUAUGCAAAACCGAAAGGUGAGGUAUAUGGGCUGACGCCUGCCCGGUGCUGGAAGGUUAAGGGGAGAGGUUAGCCGUAAGGCGAAGCUUUGAACUUAAGCCCCAGUAAACGGCGGCCGUAACUAUAACGGUCCUAAGGUAGCGAAAUUCCUUGUCGGGUAAGUUCCGACCCGCACGAAAGGCGUAAUGAUUUGAGCGCUGUCUCGACAAUGCACCCGGUGAAAUUGAAAUACCAGUGAAGAUGCUGGUUACCUGCGCCAGGACGGAAAGACCCCAUGGAGCUUUACUCCAGCUUGAUACUGGGAUUCGGUAUUGCAUGUACAGGAUAGGUGGGAGGCUUUGAAGCAUGGACGCCAGUCUAUGUGGAGCCGCUGUUGGGAUGACGGUAUCGAUAAGCUUGAU
rnacentral:rRNA from 1 species